AUGAGCAGCGGCGGCAGCAUGGAUCACCAUGACACCGCCGAUCCAUUCUCCUACUACGACCAACCUGCAGGGUCCAUGGAUGGCGACCACAUGUCCUCUCUAAAAGAGCUCACCGAUGGCUUCUCCGAUGAGCGCACCCUCGGCACCGGUGCCUACGGCAAAGUCUACAUGGGUGUACAUGAAUAUGGGAAGAAGAUUGCUGUCAAGAUGUUCCACGACGACACGCCCACACAUGCUGAUGGUGGUCAUGAGCAGUUCCAGAAGGUGUUCAGCAACCUUAAGAGGCUCCGACACCAGAACAUCGUGAAGAUGCUUGGGUACUGCUAUGAAACUCAGCAAAAACACAUGGAGUAUGACGGGAGAAAGAUUUUCAGUGAAAAGACACAGAGAGCGCUCAGUUCCGAGUAUAUGCACAACGGAGACCUUGACAAGUAUCUUCUUUCUGAUAAAUACAAAGGAGAUACUUGGCAGACAUGCUACGGAAUGAUUAAGGGGAUUUGCAAGGGUUUGAAAUACCUUCACGAGGACUUGGAAUCUCCUAUUUAUCAUUUGGAUCUAAAGCCAUCCAAUGUGUUGCUGGAUGAGAAACUUGUGCCGAAGCUCGCGGAUUACGGCUUGUCAAGGCUAUCUGGAGAUGAGCAGACACAAAUCAUGAAAUGUUUCAUGGGAACAAUUAUGUUUUCAUUAAAUCCACCGUGUCGGUACGUGCCACCAGAAUACAUAUUCAGCUUGGGGGCUAUCAUCAUAAAGAUACUUGCAGGACCGAUGAGUUACUCAAAACGUGCCGAGAUUUCCACCCAGCAAUUCGUUGAGCUUGUACAUGGAAAUUGGAGGAAUAAGCUCCACGCUACAUCAACAUAUGCAUUGGAGGUAUAUUCUGAGCAAGUAAGGAGCUGCAUAGAUAUAGCUUUAAGUUGUGUAGACGCCGACCAAUGCAAAAGGCCGAGCAUUGGAGAAAUUAUUGAUAAGUUAAUUCAGAUGGAGACUACGAUUCACAAAAUGACCGAAUCUCCAGGAACAUCAAUGGAUCAGAUGGGCUCCUACUUGCUGGAUGCAUCUGAAAAGAGAGGAAGAGAGUUGUUAGGUGUCCAUCCCCUCCAGCUCCGAUUCCCCUUUGAACCGAAUAAGUUGAUCCCCUGCCAACUUAAUCUAACGAACAACUCAGAUGAGUAUGUCGACUUUAGGUGUGUCCCAAAAAACCCCAAGAGUUUCUUGAAUGGACUGUCGCGGCUCCAUGGAAGCAUGCUGCCAAACACCAGUUGCAUAUACGUUGUAACGAUGGAAAAGCACCAGCAACCACCUGCAAACAUGGUCACUCUUGAUGUUAUCCUAGAGAGCUGGGUAGGAUAUAGAUACACGUGUGGGUGGGGCAUGGAUGACUACCUCUCUACGGGGUCACAAGAGGAUCUGAGCGGCUGUCCGGUGCAAAAGGUAACACUGAAGGCUGUUUGUGAGCCAGCAAGCAAGAUGAUGGCAUCUGAGGGAUGGCACUUUGUCGGAAAUACUAUUCGAUGGAUGUGCAUCCAACGAAGCCUUGGAGAGAGUGAUGUCGCUGAGACCUGUAAAGGAGUCAGCACCAUGUGCUGGAGACCAUUGGAUGCUUUCUGCUAA
rnacentral:rRNA from 1 species